UUAUUGAAACAAAUAGAAGUGAGGAAUCUCAGAGUCAUGUUCACAGGUUGCAUUUCCAAGGCCCAAAUACUUUUAGUGAACCUUGGCAUUUAUUUCACUGUCCUCCAGAGCAAGUAAAAAGUAUGUAUAUGAAGAUGCCUUCAAUAGAUUUGUGGAUGAGAUUAAUAGUUUAUCUACUUAUCACUAGUGAAACUACAACAACUUCGAGAAUUUGUUCGAUCAGAGUAUGACCAUGCUUGCUUGCGUUCACUAC